AUAUUCUACGGUCAUACAGCACGGAGCGAAAUCACACGUUAUUUUAUACGUUCCGUGUCCUAAGGAGUGAUUCGAAAAUGGCGUCCUACUACAAGGCGUUUGGAGACGAUUUACCUCGUUUCGAAAUUUAAGCGACUGCAUCAACCUGUGAUUGACAAGAAAAAGAAUAACUUGGAAUGGCGUUUGGCUAAUAAUUCAGGACUACCUCUUAGGCAUCGUAAAUAGAGGUGGAACUGGAUUUCAAAAUGGCGUCUGGUUCCAGAGACGAAGGUCGGGAUUCAUCUGAUGAAGGCACACUUUCGGGUAAGUAAUCCUUCAUAGCUAUUUGUGAUUUAUUUCACGUCCGACCACCUAUUGAAAUCAUGAAUAUGACCUGUACAUAGUCAUAUAUUAAGAUAAUUCACGUUUAUGCUGUGAGAAAUCUUCAUUGUGUUCCUUGUAUAUGAAGACAAAUUUAUAAUAUCAAGCUGCAAAUGCUUCGCUUGCUGAGUGGAUUGAAUCUAUAGUGGUCAUUAUAAUUCUUAAUCCCGAUAUCAAAACCAUGUUUAACGUGGUUGUGCCUGAUGAUAAGAAACCUGAUAGUUUGAUCUUCAUCUGUAAACAAUGCUGCAAAUCCUGAACUAGACUUCCUGAUAACCAGGUAUGCUAGGAAAACAUUAUCCAAUUUGUCAAUAGAGGAAAAACUUACUGAUCAGAUUUCUUUUAACAAUCUUGAUCCUCCGCUCUGACACAUCAUUCUGAUAUCGACGGAAUUAGUGAAGCCUACAGAGAGAUAUCAAAUCCCCUAAAAUACACAUUUGUCGCUUUUUUUUACUGUAUAUUUUUAUGUCUGUUGAACAUGAAAAGAUUGCGUUUCUUUUUUCCUAUAAAAUACCAAGACCGAUGAAAUCUUCAAAACAUACACAAC